UUGUUGGAAGCACUAGAUUGGAAAUUUAUGCAUGAAACAGAUCUGAAAAAAAAUUCUGAUUUGAUGAUCGAAGAUGUACAUAAUGAUGGUAAUCUCAUCUCCAAACAGGAGUCAAGUUGAAAAUCACGAUGGCAGUCUUUGGUUAGGGAGGAAAAUGAGUUUCUCAA